UGGGGAAUAUUGGACAAUGGGCGCAAGCCUGAUCCAGCCAUGCCGCGUGAGUGAUGAAGGCCCUAGGGUUGUAAAGCUCUUUUGUGCGGGAAGAUAAUGACGGUACCGCAAGAAUAAGCCCCGGCUAACUUCGUGCCAGCAGCCGCGGUAAUACGAAGGGGGCUAGCGUUGCUCGGAAUUACUGGGCGUAAAGGGUGCGUAGGCGGGUCUUUAAGUCACCGGUGAAAUCCUGGAGCUCAACUCCAGAACUGCCUUUGAUACUGAGGAUCUUGAGUUCGGGAGAGGUGAGUGGAACUGCGAGUGUAGAGGUGAAAUUCGUAGAUAUUCGCAAGAACACCAGUGGCGAAGGCGGCUCACUGGCCCGAUACUGACGCUGAGGCACGAAAGCGUGGGGAGCAAACAGGAUAAGAUACCCUGGUAGUCCACGCCGUAAACGAUGAAUGCCAGCCGUUAGUGGGUUUACUCACUAGUGGCGCAGCUAACGCUUUAAGCAUUCCGCCUGGGGAGUACGGUCGCAAGAUUA
rnacentral:rRNA from 1 species